rnacentral:rRNA from 1 species
UACGUAGGGGGCUAGCGUUGUCCGGAAUCAUUGGGCGUAAAGCGCGUGUAGGCGGUUCGGUAAGUCCGCUGUGAAAGUCGGGGGCUCAACCCUCGAAUGCCGGUGGAUACUGUCGGACUAGAGUACGGAAGAGGCGAGUGGAAUUCCUGGUGUAGCGGUGAAAUGCGCAGAUAUCAGGAGGAACACCGGUGGCGAAGGCGGUUCUCUGGGAAUGUCCUGACGCUGAGGAGCGAAAGCGUGGGGAGCAAACAGG